rnacentral:rRNA from 1 species
UACAGAGGUCUCGAGCGUUAGGCGGAAUCACUGGGCUUAAAGCGUGUGUAGGCGGAUCGUUAAGUACCUUGUGAAAUCCCACGGCUUAACCUGGAACUGCUUGGUAUACUGGCGGUCUUGAGCCAGCUAGGGGCUACCGGAACAAAUGGUGGAGCGGUGAAAUGCGUAGAUAUCAUUUGGAACGCCAAUGGUGAAAACAGGUAGCUGGGGCUGUGCUGACGCUGAGACACGAAAGCCAGGGGAGCAAACGGG